rnacentral:rRNA from 1 species
UCGAGAAUAAUUCGCAAUGGACGAAAGUCUGACGAUGCGACGCCGCGUGAACGAUGAAGGCUUUCGGGUCGUAAAGUUCUGUCGCCCUGGAACAAGAGUAGGAGGGGAAUAUCUUCCUACAAUGAGUGUACAGGGAAAGGAAGCACCGGCUAAUUCCGUGCCAGCAGCUGCGGUAAUACGGAAGGUGCAAGCGUUAGUCGGAAUUAUUGGGCGUAAAGGGUGCGUAGGCGGCAAACUAAGUUGGAUGUGAAAUUCCGGGGCUCAACCUCGGAGCUGCAUCCAAAACUGGUUUACUAGAGGAAUGGCGGAGAAAACGGAAUUCCAUGUGUAGCGGUGAAAUGCGUAGAUAUAUGGAAGAACACCUGUGGCGAAAGCGGUUUUCUAGCCUCCUCCUGACGCUAAGGCACGAAAGCAAGGGGAGCAAACAGG